UAGAUAUGCACAAAUUGCUGCAAAGACCGAUGAACAAGAUGGUAACAAUGACUUUCUAUGCUUAGUCUAGCUAUUUUUCUCUAUCCAGCUAUGGUAACUGUUCUACUUGUACGCAUAUUAUUACCAAAUAUAGCUAAUUGAUUUAAAGAUGCAACUUGGAAGUGACCACUCUCAACGCCUUCCGCUCCAUGUCAUUGGGAAGUGACUGGACAGAUGAAGAUGGUGAUCCUUGCAUACCCGCGCAAUGGGAACUGCAACUUGGAAGUGACCACUCUCAACACCUUCCGCUCCAUGUCAUUGGGAAGCGACUGGACAGACGAAGAUGGUGAUCCUUGCAUACCCGCGCAAUGGGAAUGGGUGACUUGCAGCACAACUACUCC
rnacentral:lncRNA from 1 species